rnacentral:rRNA from 1 species
UACGAAGGGGGCUAGCGUUGCUCGGAAUCACUGGGCGUAAAGGGUGCGUAGGCGGGUCUUUAAGUCAGGGGUGAAAUCCUGGAGCUCAACUCCAGAACUGCCUUUGAUACUGAAGAUCUUGAGUUCGGGAGAGGUGAGUGGAACUGCGAGUGUAGAGGUGAAAUUCGUAGAUAUUCGCAAGAACACCAGUGGCGAAGGCGGCUCACUGGCCCGAUACUGACGCUGAGGCACGAAAGCCAGGGGAGCGAACGGG